GUUCAGCCGGGAGCAGAGCGAACCGCACCGGCCCGAGCGGAGCGCCGCGCGUGCCCAACCGCGAGGCCAGACAUCUGACUGUUGGUGUGAGACCAGUGCUCCUGGUGGUGUGCCCUGAGCCAUGGAGGCGCCUUUGCAGACAGAAAUGGUGGAGCUGGUGCCCAAUGGCAAACACUCAGAGGGGCUGCUGCCAGUCAUCACCCCCAUGGCAGGCAACCAGAGGGUGGAGGACCCCACACGCAGCUGUAUUGAGGGCAAGAGCUUCCUACAGAAAAGUCCCAGCAAGGAGCCACACUUCACCGAUUUCGAGGGGAAGACAUCAUUCGGGAUGUCAGUGUUCAACCUCAGCAAUGCCAUCAUGGGCAGCGGCAUCCUGGGACUCGCCUAUGCCAUGGCCAAUACGGGCAUUAUCCUUUUCCUGUGAGUGCCCUCAGAGAACCUUCUAAAGAUAGGGGCCCUAAGCAAGCCACCAAUCAUGACCUCCCAGGACCCACCAGUUCCCUGUCCCAGCACCCAGGCUGCAGUGGGUGGGCACUUCUUACACUAACAAACCACGGCUGAAAAAA
rnacentral:sRNA from 1 species